GCCACGCCCGAUUCCACCCCUUGGCUGGCCGGCGAGCCUCUCCGCCGGUAGAUCCGCCCAUUCCAGCCCCGUUCCCGUCGGAUCCCGUCCCCAAGGAGCACUUUCUAGCGCCGCCAGCCAGGAGCAGCAACCUCACCGGCAGGAGACGCCCACCUUGAAGCCAUUGAUGCCGGUGCUCACCAUGUCGUCCUCUGAGCCAGCCUCCUCGCCCUCGCCCCCUCGCCCCAAUCCAAGGUGAGCUCGCCUUUGCAUCUUCCCUAUGGCUGGUGAUGGUACUGUACAAGUGCUGGGAGAAGCUGUCAAGCGUGCCGAACGCGUCGGAAUCGCCAGGUGAAGUGAGAAGCUAGCUCUAGAAGCUGGAUUUGUGAAGUUUUAAGAAGCUAGAUAGAUUCCGAACACGCCCUAAGACUUCAAUUUUUCAAUGCAAGAUGUUCAUCUAAAUUCAUCUUGAUUGAUUGUUUUUGUCUUGUACAUCCAUCGUUAUUUAUUGACCAUCACUUGGUUUGUCAAUAUAAGCUGUAGGAAUAUUGUGAAGUGAGGUUAGGAAGACAAAAAGAGCUCUAUAAAUUUAGGGUUCACUCUGUAGAUAUGUCAGCUUCAUAGAAAAAGUAGCAGCAAUAGCAACAGCAACACAGGCAUAGAGCACGCGCGCACAUGCAAAGCAGCAAGCAGAGACCUAAUAGCAGACAGAAGUUUCUCAUCGGUCGUCGAGGAUGAGGAUAAUGAUCUAGAGCUUCCUCCUGCAGAGCGGGCAUGAUCCAUGCUUGAUCAGCCAGUGGAACAUGUGCCAGCAAUCGAGCAAGCUCUGCACUUUCUCCCUGACAUGGAAAUCCUGAAAACCACUAAAAUGGGAAAAGUUCAUAAAGAUUUACGUCGCUGAAAAAUGAAAAUUAACAAUUGAUGAGCUCAUAAGAUUGAAAAAAAACAAAGCUAUUGAUUAUGACAGUAUCAGCAGAAUGUUACAUUACAGAGAGGUUUAUUCUUUCGAGUUCUUUUAGGGUGAUUGGAGAGUUACAACUCGUAAUUUCAUGUAACUCCACCUCUAGAUUUUUCUGUCCGUUAGAUCUGCAAAACUCACUUAAAUAUUAUUUUUUAUAAUAAGGGUAUAAUAGUCCAAUCUGUGUCCCGCGUUGAAGCAUCAAACGUGCGCAGGCCCAGCAAGGCCCGAGACAGAGCCACGCAGAGUCCAUCCCUCAUUCCUCUCACCGUCUUUCGCGGGCGAUGCUAACCCUAGAGCCGCCGCCGGCCGCCGCCACUUCGCCUGCCAGCGGCUCCGACCAUGACAUCCAACUUCUCCCGACAUCAGCGCUCCUUCCCCAGAAGGUCUCCUCCUUGGCCCUCGGAUUAAUCUCCGCUCCCGCCCCCUCCGGGUCCCUCGUGAAUCGUGAGACGGCGCGAGAGGGUACAUGGUGAAGGCACCGAGGCUGCAUCCACUGCCGUGCAUGCCGCCCGGUGCAGGAUCCUCGGGGACGCGGAGGAGCAUGGUGGAGUACAACGGCAAGGAGACGCCCUCAGCAUGGAAUGACCUUACUGCUCCUGUGCUCCAUCUCCAACAUAACUCCGGCUGCUAUAGCCAGUUUGGUCUUCUGUUCUACAUUGAUCCGUUUAGGGAGGACGAAGGAGCCGCAGUUGUCAGGGCUGCGGCAGGCGAGCAGGGACGCGACUGGAGAUUGAUCAGAGACUGCAACAUAUUGUUAGCUUCAUGAGGUUGGGAGCAACUAGAUCUGGACCUCCCCGCAACUGACUAGAAAAGUGAUGACGAUGUUCUCUGAACUCUGAUCUCUCUCUCGUGUUUUCAGACAACAAUGAUCAGUAGUAGCAGUAGUCCUUGGCACAAUUUUACUUCUCUGUGUGCAGUCUAAAAGCUAGGAAAAAAAUGGGGGGCAUGAAUACCCGCAUUGCUCUCAUAUCAUCUCCAUGAAUGAAAAAGAAUACAUAGUGCCAUCAUUGUUCAUCCUCUCCCUUUGUUUCGAGUGUUGUCUGAAUCAACUUAAACUUAGCUGACAAUAAGGCUUCAUGUCUCGUUUUUCACCA